ACKGCUCAGUAACACGUGGCUAACCUACCCUCGAGACAGGGACAACCCCGGGAAACUGGGGCUAAUCCCCGAUAGAUGAGAACACCUGGAACGGGUUCUCGUCCAAAAGGCGCCUAUAUCAUGCUUCUAGACGCUGCUCAAGGAUGGGGCCGCGGCCGAUCAGGCUGUUGGUGAGGCAAUGGCUCACCAAGCCUUUUACCGGUGCGGGCCGUGAGAGCGGGAGCCCGGAGAUGGGCACUGAGACAAGGGCCCAGGCCCUACGGGGCGCAGCAGUCGCGAAAACUUUGCAAUAAGCGAAAGCUUGACAGGGCUAUCCCGAGUGCCAUCCGCUGAGGAAGGCUUUUACCCAGUCUAGAACGCUGGGGGAAUAAGGAGAGGGCAAGUCUGGUGUCAGCCGCCGCGGUAAUACCAGCUCUCUGAGUGGUGUGGAUGUUUAUUGGGCCUAAAGCAUCCGUAGCUGGCUAGGUUAGUCCCCUGUUAAAUCCACCGAAUUAAUCGUUGGAUUGCGGGGGAUACUGCUUGGCUAGGGGACGAGAGAGGCAGACGGUAUUUCCGGGGUAGGGGUGAAAUCCUAUAAUCCCGGGAAGACCACCAGUGGCGAAGGCUGUCUGCUAGAACGCGCCCGACGGUGAGGGAUGAAAGCUGGGGGAGCGAACCGGAUUAGAUACCCGGGUAGUCCCAGCUGUAAACGAUGCAGACUAGGUGUUUGGACGGCCACGUGCCGUUCUAGUGCCGCAGGGAAGCUGUUAAGUCUGCCGCCUGGGGAGUACGAUCGCAAGAUUGAAACUUAAAGGAAUUGGCGGGGGAGCAC
rnacentral:rRNA from 1 species